GAUGAACGCUGGCGGCGUGCUUAACACAUGCAAGUCGAACGAGAAGUGGAGACGGAAACCUUCGGGCGGAAGACUUUAUUUCGAGUGGCGGACGGGUGAGUAACGCGUGGGUAACCUGCCUCAUACAGGGGGAUAACAGUUGGAAACGACUGUUAAUACCGCAUAAGACCACAGCACCGCAUGGUGCGGGGGUAAAAACUCCGGUGGUAUGAGAUGGACCCGCGUUCGAUUAGCCAGUUGGCGGGGUAACGGCCCACCAAAGCGACGAUCGAUAGCCGAUCUGAGAGGAUGACCGGCCACAUUGGGACUGAGACACGGCCCAAACUCCUACGGGAGGCAGAAGUGGGGAAUAUUGCAAAAUGGGGGAAACACUGAUGCAGCGACGACGCGUGAGUGAAGAAGUAUUUCGGUAUGUAAAGCUAUAUCAGAAGGGAAGAAAAUGACGGUACCUGAGGAAGAAGCCCCGGCUAACUACGUG
rnacentral:rRNA from 1 species